rnacentral:rRNA from 1 species
AUACGUAGGGGGCGAGCGUUGUCCGGAAUGAUUGGGCGUAAAGGGCGCGUAGGUGGCCCGGUAAGUCUGGAGUGAAAGUCCUGUUUUUAAGAUGGGAAUUGCUUUGGAUACUGUCGGGCUUGAGUGCAGGAGAGGUAAGUGGAAUUCCCAGUGUAGCGGUGAAAUGCGUAGAGAUUGGGAGGAACACCAGUGGCGAAGGCGACUUACUGGACUGUAACUGACGCUGAGGCGCGAAAGUGUGGGGAGCAAACAGGAUUAGAUACCCUGGUAGUCCACACGGUAAACGAUGAAUGCUAGGUGUAGGGGGUAUCGACCCCUUCUGUGCCGCAGUCAGCACAAUAAGCAUUCCGCCUGGGGAGUACGGCCGCAAGGUUGAAACUCAAAUGAAUUGACGGGG